CAAACUGGAGAUGGCGACCGGCGCACGGGUGAGUAACACGUAUCCAACCUGCCGAUAACUCGGGGAUAGCCUUUCGAAAGAAAGAUUAAUACCGGAUAGUAUACGAAUAUCGCAUGAUAUUUUUAUUAAAGAAUUUCGGUUAUCGAUGGGGAUGCGUUCCAUUAGUUUGUUGGCGGGGUAACGGCCCACCAAGACUACGAUGGAUAGGGGUUCUGAGAGGAAGGUCCCCCACAUUGGAACUGAGACACGGUCCAAACUCCUACGGGAGGCAGCAUG
rnacentral:rRNA from 1 species